rnacentral:rRNA from 1 species
GAUGAACGCUGGCGGCGUGCCUAAUACAUGCAAGUCGAGCGAACAGACUAGGAGCUUGCUCCUCUGCCGUUAGCGGCGGACGGGUGAGUAACACGUGGAUAACCUACCUAUCAGACUGAGAUAACUUCGGGAAACCGGAGCUCAUACCGUAUAAUAUAUUGAACCGCAUGGUUCCAUCGUGAAAGCCGGUUUUUCUUUCACUUAUUGAAGGAUCCGCUCCGCAUUAACUAGUUGGUAAGGUAACGGCUUAACGAGGCAACGGUGCGUAGGCGACCUGAGAGUGUGUUCCGCCACCUGGGAACGGAGAACCGGUCCAGACUCCGAGGGGAGGCAGCAGUAGGGAAUCUUCCGCAAUGGGCGAAAGGUUGACAGAGGAAAGCCGGGGGAAGGAUGAAGGUCUUCGGAUCGUAAAGCUCUGUUAGUAGGGAAGAACAAAUGUGUAAGUAACGAUGAACGUCUUGACGGUACCUAAUCAGAAAGCCACGGCUAACUACGUG